AGAAUCAACGCUGGCGGCGUGCCUAACACAUGCAAGUCGCACGAGAAAGGGACUUCGGUCCUGAGUAAAGUGGCGCACGGGUGAGUAACACGUGAAUCAUCUACCUUCGAGUGGGGAAUAACUGAGAGAAAUCUCAGCUAAUACCGCAUAAUACCUACGGGUCAAAGCAGCAAUGCGCUUGAAGAGGAGUUCGCGGCAGAUUAGUUAGUUGGCGGGGUAAUGGCCCACCAAGACGAUGAUCUGUAUCCGGCCUGAGAGGGCGCACGGACACACUGGAACUGAAACACGGUCCAGACUCCUACGGGAGGCAGCAGUGGGGAAUUUUGCGCAAUGGGGGAAACCCUGACGCAGCAACGCCGCGUGGAGGAUGAAAUAUCUUGGUAUGUAAACUCCUUUCGAUGGGGAAGAUAAUGACGGUACCAUAGAAGAAGCCCGGCUAACUUCGCGCCAGCAGCCGC
rnacentral:rRNA from 1 species